rnacentral:lncRNA from 1 species
UUCAUCAAUUCAUCAUUUCAACUUUUUAAAAUGAGGUUUCAAUGCCAAUGAAAAACUAUUGAAUUCCAAAUUUCAGUUGAAGUUGAAGCUGGAAAUUGUUGAUGCUAAUAUAUAUCUAUAUACAUCAAAAUGAUCUGCAACACAAACGAGAUAUAUCUAGUGAUUGUGUUUUACAGAAAACAUGAGAAUAAACAACUAGAGUAAUAAUGUGAUAGAUUCAAGUAAUUCAAAUGAUCAGGAACAACUGAUAUUCAAUACUUGAUAAACAUAAGAAAUAAUACAUAUGAAAGUGAACCCGACUCUACUCCUCAAGUAAUCUCACUCAGAAAGCACACAGACAAGCAACUUCAGUAGAGCUUACAUGAAUAAAAUGGACUCAACUCAAGGAAGGAAUGGUUGGUAUUCCAGUUGGAAGAGGAGGAAUUGUAGCCAGUACUGUUGGAUUUGGUAAAGAUGGGAUUUCUGGUGCUGUUGGUAAUGUUGGCAAAGGCGGGAGUGUAACCUUUGGCAGUGUUGGCAUUGCUGGGAAUGGGGGCACUGUGACUUUAGGCAGAGGCGGAACAGAUGACAUUGUAGACAAUGGCAAAUGGCAAGCCACUAGGCUAACAUGGAUCGUGCUUGAAAGUGAUAAUGCUAUGCUCAAAGAUAAUAUCAAAGAGUUUCGACAAGUAGAAGGGAAUUAAAGAAAGGGCUACAACUUUUGGACUGAAUUUAGUAAUUUGAUAUUUCUGAUGUUUGUUUGCAAGUGAAAGAAUAACAGUUGAGAGCUAGUGUUGUAGGAAUCUAAAGAUUGGCAGUCACCUGUUUGUGUUUUGAUGAGACGUGGUUGGCUAAAUAUGGAGAAAAAUUGAUUUGUUUACUCUCCAAAAGUUGACUAAUGCCCCAGAUGUUACCUAAAGAA